AUCUUACACUGAAUUACCUAGACUGGAAUGUCUAUUAAUGUUUUUGUGACUAUGACAGAAUAUUCCACUGCAGCAGCUUAGAGUGGAGGCUUUGUUUCCUGAGUUCAUAUUCCUUAGAAAAGGAGGCUCCAUUCCCUGAGUUCAUGUCAUUACACAGAUGUGAAAUGAGCAAGACCCAGACUCUGCUUCUGAGGGAGAACAGCGCACUUGCCCUUCUGUGCAGGGAUGCUUUGGUUUAACCCAACAAUAGCAUGCAGAAGGCCUGACUGGAAAUCCUAACCCGGCAUCCUUUCAGGUCUUUGAAGUUGUGCAGAUUGCUUGACUUCACUGAGCCCCAAAUUACCAUGUAUACAUACAGUCACCCUUCACAAGAUUAGGGAAACUCUGGUCUGUAGUGACAUCACAUUGUUGGUUGUCUGGAUCUGAGUGGGGCCUGCUUGGGAUGCUAAUUUAAAAGGACUUUUCUGAGAUUAAGAAGAUACCAUGGUUUAAGUCUGGAGAAAGGGCUCACUCAGUGAGUAAAGCAUUAAAGACCAGAGUUCCAGUCCCCAGAGCCCAUGUAACAUCCAGGACAGUGGCAGCCUUCCUGAAUCCCAGCACACUGGGACCCAGUCCCCAGAACGUUACCAGCCAGAAUGAGCUAGUCCUAACGAUGGUGGGCUCCUGGUUCCAGGAGAGACCAUGUCUCCAUGUAUGAGAUGGAGAGUGAGCUGUCCUCCACACGCGUCCACACAUACUGCAUGUGCCCACACACUUGCAAAGAGACACAUGCAUCC
rnacentral:lncRNA from 1 species